UCCAGACUCCUACGGGAGGCAGCAGUGAGGAAUAUUGGUCAAUGGGCGGGAGCCUGAACCAGCCAAGUCGCGUGAAGGAAGAAGGUACUUAGUAUUGUAAACUUCUUUUGUCGGGGAACAAAGGCGGAGACGCGUCUCCGGAUGAGUGUACCCGAAGAAAAAGCAUCGGCUAACUCCGUGCCAGCAGCCGCGGUAAUACGGAGGAUGCGAGCGUUAUCCGGAUUUAUUGGGUUUAAAGGGUGCGUAGGCGGGCUGUUAAGUCAGCGGUCAAAUGUCGGGGCUCAACCCCGGCCUGCCGUUGAAACUGGCGGCCUCGAGUGGGCGAGAAGUAUGCGGAAUGCGUGGUGUAGCGGUGAAAUGCACAGAUAUCACGCAGAACUCCGAUUGCGAAGGCAGCAUACCGGCGCCCUACUGACGCUGAGGCACGAAAGCGUGGGUAUCGAACAGGAUUAGAUACCCCUGUAG
rnacentral:rRNA from 1 species